rnacentral:rRNA from 1 species
UACAGAGGGGGCAAGCGUUGUUCGGAAUUACUGGGCGUAAAGGGCGCGUAGGCGGCCUGCUAAGUCGAACGUGAAAUCCCCGGGCUCAACCCGGGAACUGCGUCCGAGACUGGCGGGCUUGAAUCCGGGAGAGGGAUGCGGAAUUCCAGGUGUAGCGGUGAAAUGCGUAGAUAUCUGGAGGAACACCGGUGGCGAAGGCGGCAUCCUGGACCGGUAUUGACGCUGAGGCGCGAAAGCUAGGGGAGCAAACGGG